AUGAUUCUAAUGCCAUUAAUGUUAACUUCAUUGAUGAAGCUUGCAAAGGCACUAGUGUGUCAACCUACUUCAACUCUCACAACAAUUCUCUAUUAUGGAAAUUUGCUUCCUAGAAAUCUUAACUUAGAUAGAUUAGUGAGAAGAGAAUUUCUUCAACAAGAAAAUUAUUUCUUCCAUUUUCUCAUUGGAAUGUUGAGGUGUGUAUGGUAA